rnacentral:rRNA from 1 species
AUGGCGCGUGAUCUCCUCGUGGCCGCGGACCUGUACGACCUGGAGAGACUAAGGCUCAUGUGCGAGAACAUAUUGUCUGAAAGCAUCGAUGUCGGCAAUGUCAUGGCGACGCUCAUGCUGGUGCACGGCCGGCACGAUUGUUGGCAGCUCGAGGGCUCAUGCGUCAAGUUCAUGGCAUCCGAACCUGACAUAACCAAAGCAUCUGGUUUCUUCCAUCCAGAGAGACCAUCAGCGGCUAGCUUGACAGAAUCCAGCGGCGGCGACGACGAAUCCAUGGCGGGGGACCACCGCCGUGACCGCGCCCAGCAGCAGCGGCCAGGCGUGCUCAUGGUGGCGGCGCUCGCGGCUCUCGGCCUCCUCGCCCUCUCCGGCACGGCGCUGGCUGCCUCGGUCGCGGGGCUGGCCGUGGCAGCGCCGUUGCUCCUGCUCUGCAGCCCUGUGCUUGUCCCGGCGGCGCUGCUGGCCACUCUGACGGCCGGCGGCAUGGCCACUUCAGGCUCACUGGCCGUCGGGGCGACGGCGCUGCUGUCACGCUUGGCGAGCGCGGUGAGGAGGGCGGCCGCAACCCCGCCGGACUACGUCGAGUUAGGGAAGCGGCGGGUGGCGGAGGUGGCCGGGGAGCAGACGGCGCACAUCGACGCCGGGCCGGCGAUCAAUCCGGAGCAAGUGGCCCGCAGCCGCCGGCCGUACGGUGGCUCACACGCCCUGAUCUCCUAG